UGCGUAGGCGGACUAAUAAGUCAGUGGUGAAAUCUUUCGGCUCAACCGAGAAACUACCAUUGAUACUGUUAGUCUUGAGUUCGGUUGAGGUAGGCGGAAUGUGUAAUGUAGCGGUGAAAUGCUUAGAUAUUACACAGAACACCAAUUGCGUAGGCAGCUUACUAGACCGACACUGACGCUGAGGCACGAAAGCGUGGGGAGCGAACAGGAUUAGAUACCCUGGUAGUCC
rnacentral:rRNA from 1 species